GAUCAUGGCUCAGGACGAACGCUGGCGGCGCGCCUAACACAUGCAAGUCGAACGGAGCUGAGAGGAGUUUGCUUUUCUCAGCUUAGUAGCGAACGGGUGAGUAACGCGUGAGUAACCUGCCCUGGAGUGGGGGACAAUAGUUGGAAACGACUGCUAAUACCGCAUAAGCCCACGGCCCGGCAUCGGGCUGCGGGAAAAGGAUUUAUUCGCUUCAGGAUGGACUCGCGUCCAAUUAGCUAGUUGG
rnacentral:rRNA from 1 species